rnacentral:rRNA from 1 species
UACAGAGAGUGCGAACGUUGUUCGGAAUUACUGGGCUUAAAGCGCACGUAGGCGGCUCCGCAAGUGUCGGGUGAAAUCCCACGGCUUACCCGUGGAACUGCCCGGCAGACUGCGGAGCUAGAGGAUGGUAGGGGAGAGCGGAACUCCUGGUGGAGCGGUGAAAUGCGUAGAUAUCAGGAGGAACACCGGUGGCGAAGGCGGCUCUCUGGUCCAUAACUGACGCUGAGGUGCGAAAGCUAGGGGAGCAAACGGG